rnacentral:rRNA from 1 species
AGUGAACGCUGGCGGUAGGCCUACACCUGCAAGGCCAACCGCAGCACAGUAAGGUCUUUCUUUUACGGGUGGGGGGUGUCGGUCGGGUGAGGGAUACAUUCGCAUCCUCCUAUUCGCGGGGGAUAUGCCAGGGUAAACUUCCCGAAUUCCCGAAACUGCCCACGGGUUAUAGUCAGGGAUCUUCUGACCGUGCGCCAGUGUAUGAUCCGGUGUCGGAGUAUCUAGUUGGCGGGGUAAAGGCCCACCCAGGCCACGAUCCGUACCUCGUCUGAGAGGAUGAUCGGCCACACUGUAACUGAGACGCGGUCCAGACUCCUGCGGGAGGCAGCAGUGGGGAAUAUUGGACAAUGAGAGCAAGGCUGAUCCAGCCAUACCGCGUGGGUGAAGAAGGCCUUCGGGUUGUAAAGCCCUUUUGUUGGGAAAGAAAAGCAGCAGGUUAGUACCCCGCUGUUCUGACGGUACCCAAAGAGUGAGCACAGGCUAGCUUCGUG